UACGGAGGGUGCAAGCGUUAUCCGGAUUCACUGGGUUUAAAGGGUGCGUAGGUGGGCAAGUAAGUCAGUGGUGAAAUCUCCGGGCUUAACCCGGAAACUGCCAUUGAUACUAUUUGUCUUGAAUACUGUGGAGGUCAGCGGAAUAUGUCAUGUAGCGGUGAAAUGCUUAGAUAUCGAGCGGAACACCAGUGGCGAAGGCGAGUCCCUGGACAAUUCCUGACACUGAGGCACGAAAGCUAGGGGAGCAAACAGG
rnacentral:rRNA from 1 species